rnacentral:lncRNA from 1 species
UUCUUUUCUAAUCUUUGUGUCUUUCUUUUUUUCUUGCUAGGACUUCCAGUAUAAUAAUGUUGAAUAGGGGGAGGAAUAAGAUGGCAGAGGAGACCUAAAUUUCAUCUGAUCCCAGGAAUUCAGGUAACCAUCACCUGGAUCAUAACACAGAAUAUUUGCAGAUCUGCACAGGACUCCCU